rnacentral:rRNA from 1 species
GACGUAGGGCGCGAGCGUUGUCCGGAAUUAUUGGGCGUAAAGAGCUUGUAGGCGGUCUGUCGCGUCUGCUGUGAAAAUCCGGGGCUCAACCCCGGACUUGCAGUGGGUACGGGCAGACUAGAGUGUGGUAGGGGUGACUGGAAUUCCUGGUGUAGCGGUGAAAUGCGCAGAUAUCAGGAGGAACACCGAUGGCGAAGGCAGGUCUCUGGGCCACUACUGACGCUGAGAAGCGAAAGCAUGGGGAGCGAACAGG